UUCUCCUGUCUUGGUGUGUGAAGUCAGUCAGUUCUGUUGACUGCCUUUUCUUUUCUUAUCCCUAGAGGUGACCAGUCCCGUAAGAGAGCCGGGGAUGAGUUGGCUUAUAACAGCUCGUCAGCAUGUGCAAGUUCCAGGGGGUACAGAUAGUGAAUGUAUUGAAUGUACUUUCCUUCCGGAAAAGAGGACACACUGGAGCUGCAGAGACUGUAUUCAGAGCACAGCGGGGGCCUGCAGACACUCAGGAGCUCUGUCACAAAGCUGUUCUUAGAAGAGGAUGUUGGACUCUUACUUUGGUUUGUAAUUUUAAAAAAGAAAAACUAACAAAAAACAAAACCUAAAAACAGUUGCUGCUAGACUUGGGGGUGAUUUGAAAUGGGACAAUCUUAAUGAGCUUAUCUACAGAUUCUGUGAGGAACAUGCAUCUUGGAAAGCGAUCAUUGCUAAGUGAUAUUCGACGGCCAAAAUCAGCAGCUUCCUCCAAAAAUACAAGAGCAGAAGAAUCUUUUUUUUUUCUUCCUCUCCUUAAAGCACUUGUUUUGUUCAUUUGUGGACUCAGCACUUUGGCAUAUUGGUUUCACAUGUCAAGAUAUCUUUUGCUUUAAAACUAAGCAGAUCAUUAUAAUACAGUAUUUUUUCACCCAUAACCAAAACAACCCCUUUAAAAGAGUUGGUCUUUGUUUAGCAUUAGAAAGUCUUGUUAUUGUUAAAGGAAAAUGCUAACUCUGCUUUUGCUAGAACUUUUUGCCCCAUUAGUUCACAACUUUUUUCUACUCUGUGCCUUGAGCUUUGUGCACUUUGCAACUGUGUGACCAUGUUGUCAAACUCACAGAUGCUUCCUGGAGAAGUUAAUGGUAUCCCAGAUAACCCACCAAAAUAUCUGUGUGACUUUAUAGCAGGAUGCUAAUUGAGUGGGAAAAUGGAAGUGUGUUACCCAUUAGACGUUCCCUUGCCUCACUGAGGCAUAUUUGUGUUGAUGUUGGGGACCAACUCUCAGAGAGCGUUUAUUUCCAUUCCCUCUGUUGCUGAACGUGGUUUCCCCAGCUGCUGUAGUCUUGGCAGUACUCCAGGUUAGGGAUGGGCAGUACUUGAGCACUGAAGCUCCCUUUAAUGCUGAGAAUUAUUAAGAGCUGCUUCCUGUGAUGCUCUAGGAAGCAGAGAUAGUCAUUAAAUCCCAGUGCAAUCAACAAUCUGGGGUUCCCAAUCCAUUUCAUUUUAAAUGGGUGAGAUAAGUACUUAAGAAAAAUAAAAACAAACUACAGUCCUGCAUCUAUUAAACAUUAUAUUUUAAUGUAAUGGGAAAGAAUUAGCACUGCUGUUUUAAGGUGCCCUUCCAGCUGUGGCAGAGCUAUAUUUUGUGUUUCUCCAUGCCCACAGUGCUCUUUAGCUCUUCCUAAAAGUCUGAAGCUUUUCUAGUUUUUGAAAGAAACAGAAAAAUAGACGUGUCAAGGGAAAAAUAUUUUUCUCUCAAUUUUGCUUGAGUCUGAAUUGCUCAUAGGCUCCAUUGGGCUCCAGAUGACUAAUAAUAUUUACCUAUUCAGAGAGCUUGACAUUGGUUGGGGUAGAGUGGGAGACAUACCAGGGUCUGUUUUGUAGGUUUUUCAUAGAGCUACCUCUGACACUUCAGUUAUCCUUUUUUGAGAAUGGGGUGGAAGGGAGAGUUAGAAGUCACAUAUUGGGAGCAAGUAAGUUGUCUGAGUAGGGGUCUUAGAUUGGGAAAUUAUACAAAGACGUCAAAGGAAAACGUCAGAUUUUUUUUAAGUACUUAUCAGCCAGGGUUAAUGGACAUUGUAGAGGAUUUUAAUUGGACAUGUCUAACUCUGAGCAUCUUGGAACAUAUUGAUUACUGUAAGAACAUAUACAGGCUCUAUUUUGCUACACCAGGAACAUUCUAGUGUCAAGGAAGAUUCAUUUUAUCAUGAAGUGCAAAUUUUACUUUCCUCAAUGGGGUAUUUGCUGCAGGCUCAUAAGUAACACCUGGAACCGAAGUCUCUCCUGAAUUGUUUUAAUAUUUCUGAAAGGAAUAAAACUAGAACUUUUCUUCAAAUGUGGAUGAGUUCUUCACUAUCCUACUAUGUACCCAGCUGCUUUUUCUGGAGCAAACCUUCUUUUUUGGCAAACAACGGAAUUUUCCCUAUAAAAGCAUUGUAUUAAGAUGUGAAUUGGCAUUGACAUCUUUGGAUGCUUUUGUAUUAUUAAGCCAAUGGAGAAAUAUUUUAUAUUCUUUUUUAUGAUUGCGUACGUGUAAACAAAAUGUAGGCAGAGUUUGCAAAAUGUAGUAUCUCUAAACGUUUGCAGUGACUGCAGCCAGCUGUGAGUCGGGGCUUGGUACUCUAAGCUUGAUUAUUGGAAGGCUCUAGAGGAAGGGUAUAUACAUGUCCCCAGCGCAUGUGUCCUAGUUGUUACUCAUCAUGGCCCCUUGACAUCAUUGCAGUAUGAAAAACUUCUUUAACUGAAAAUUAACAGAAUUCUUAGUUUAGAACAUUAGAGAAAAUAAAAUCUGACCUUUCCCAUUUUGUAUUGUCUAGUACUGUUUGCCAGAAAGUAUUUUCUUGUCAAAUUUACUUGUAUAUUUCUUGCCAGUACAGUAUACAGUUUUCCAACCCAAUUUAUUACUGACUUUUUAUAUCGAAUCAUUGAAGGCCCAAAUCAUUGAAGACAGAAAAUAGUAUAUGCAGAUUGAUUGGUUGAUUAGUCAGUAUACAUAAUUGAUUUGACUAACCUUACUAGUAUAUAUGUGCAGCCUGAAAUUAGACCCUUAAAAAAACCAGAUCAGUUAUCUUGAAAUGAUGACAUGUAAAAGUAAAUAGUUGAUAACUUGUUUUGACAGGCAGUAUGUAUUGGUAUAUAUUUUAAAGUUGGCCUUAAACUUCAGUAACGGUGUCAUCUCAUGAACUCAGUUGUCACAGCUGCACCCUAACCAACAGGACUCACUGCUUUGUUUUCUGUGGGGCAGAAAGCGAAGGCUGGUGGUGUGACUCAGAGCCUCGUAGUCCAUAGGUGGUAGGUUAGUGGGUAUAAACACAGACCUGGUCCCUUUUGCGAGUUUACAGCAGUCAUCAUCCCUUUCUUGGGUUCUAGAAUGAAAGCUGAUUUGUGGGUAGAUGAUAUUGCAGAAGAACCAAUGCCUGUGGCCAUGAAUGCUACACACGUCCCCAGUGCUCAGACCUCUACCGCUGCCACUCCCCUUGCUGUAUGCCAUGCUUUCUAUAAGGCUGCAAAUUUGCACACAUAAAUAAUUCCUCAGGAAGAGUUUGCACGUGCAUCACCUUGCAAUAUUUUGUACUGACCAAACAAGGGAUUUGAAAGUUUUCAGCACAAAAGGAUAACUUCAGAGUGGUGGUCUGUACACCUACUAACAAAGGUAAUGGUGAUCUAGCAAACAAAUGGGUUUCUGCAGUUAUGAAGUAAGCAGGUGCACUUGUAACAUAGUAUUUAAAUAGUCUUGUUUAAUCUCCCUUUAACCCUUCCAGACUUGUCUUAUUAUUGAGGCUGGCUGUAUUUUCUUCUGUAUUUUUUGUUUGUUUGUUUUAUACCAGUUAAUUAUCUUUGUGAUUAUUAUCAGGAGGCAUUGCCUUAAGCUAAAAUUCAAUUUUUUAAUAAGCAGCUAUUAUUAAAAUAACUGAGCAUUAUCUUACCGAAUAUACACUAAUCUGAGAUCCUAAAAAAAUUCAUAGUUAAAAAGCAAAACAAAAAAACCUACAUUAGCUAUCCAGCCAUUGUUUGGAUGUUUUGGUUAAUUAUUUUAGGGUGUCUUAUUGAGCUUUUUAGUUUAGAAUAUUGUAUUUACUUUAAUCCAAGUCCACACCUCUUCAUUUAAGGGGGCUUUAAAAUUCAAGGUCAGAAUGUGACUCCCUUGACUGACACCUGUAACAGGCUUAUUAGGCCUUUUUGGUUGUGGUUACUGUUUUCAGUAAUAUUGCAUAAGACAAAGUUCAUUUUAUCAAGUUAAAAUGGAGGUCAUAAGGGUUCUCUCCUAUUGCUUUCAUCUUCCUGAUGAAUUCUGCCCCAGUUUUUGGCCACCACAAUAUAUAAAAGGAUCUCUGUUCUUUUCCAAGGGAAAUCAUUCUUAUACUGUUGAUUAGUGAAAGUCACUGACAUCUUCCCUUUUCCAUUGACCAAGACCCUCUUGUGGAUCUCUUUUCAGAGUAGAGUGGUGGGAAUACUUUCUGCUUAUGUUGACAGAGUGGUUGUGGGAGAAUUUAAGAAAAUGCUACUCAGAGAGCCAUUCUGUAAAACAGUAGUGUAUAACACACCCAUGCCGGUGGAAAAUUACCUUUAUUUCCGGUUGGACUGCAUUGUUUAGAAAAAUGUUAAUGGCUUACAAUUCUGGUAAAUUUAUAGCGUGGAUCUGGGAUUAAAGAUUCUGUGGUUUGGAAAAAAAUAAAUAUUUUGUAUUGAUUCUCACAUGCCA